CCUGGCCACUCUGUGAUUCUGUGAUUCUACGAAAGGUGCAUUUGUUUUGUUUUUUCUUAGGCUGAUGAUAUUCACAUUCCUGUAGCGAAUGUCUGUGUGUUGCCUAGGAUUCUCAUGCGAUCCCUGCACCAGUGACAAGACCUUCCUUCUGGUAACACGUCUGCCUCCAGUUAUCUUAGAUGGCUUGAUAGGUUUGUAUGUAUACAGUACAAUGCGUGAGACCCACAGAAAGCUAUUUAAGACAUUACUGAUAGAGUUCUUGCAGCAAAAACCAUUGUGUAGCAAGUGUUUGUUUCCUGAUGGCUAGGUCAUGGUGGCUUUGAAAACACAUCAGCAUGCUGGAAUCAAGCCAGACAUGAAGAAGAGUGCUGCAAGGGGUAUGUCAUUGUUUUGUGUGUAUGAUGAAUACCGACUAUGACAUCUCAGCAGAUGAUAAAGAAAAUAUAAUGAAUGUAAAUUAGCGUGGGAAUUAGUCCUCUCUGCCACCAAGAAGCAUGGCUGGGGCUCCUGAUGGCUGAGCACUGCCAGACCUGCCCUGCCGUCAGCUCUGGGAGAAGAGACUGGAGCUUGUUUGCUCACCCAUUUACUUUACACCACUGUCUUCUGCUUAGACUUGCGCUUGGGGAUUUUUCCCUUAUGUAUGCUGAGGAAUAUUACUUUGUUUCAGCUUAAGGGAUCUCUCUAGUGUACAUAUUUAUACGACUUUGCCCUAUGGGAUGUAGGAUGUUGCUUAAGACUAUUCCCCAAUUAGCACCAAAGGACUUCUUGUUCCCGCUGGUAGCUCAUCCUCAUUUAAGGCAUGAUUACAUCUUUUUUCACCCUCAGUAUCUUUGGUAGAUUGCUCUGUAGCCAGGAGAUCCAAGAAUAAAACAGACUUUCGUAAAAAUAACUUCUGUAGGUGUAUGUUGUUGUGGGCAGAUUCUUUUUUUUUUUUUUCAGUCCUGAUUCUUUCAGCUUUGCUUAUCUUUGAUGUAGCAGGUCUGCUUCAAGAGAACUGGAACUCUUUUCCCUUCAGACAGUGAUACAAAGUAUGGAGUGAAUGUUGUCAGUAAUGCACUUAUUUCUUCUCAAAAGAAAUGGAGUAACUGCUAGAUCCAAGACCCAGUCCUCAUGAUUAUGGUUGGUUUUGAACCAGGUGCUGCUGGAAGGAUGUGUGGAGAAGCUCUCCGGCCCGGUUGCUCACUGUGCUUGCGAGGGAAUUCUUCCUGUUCUCUGUGAGAAGCUGCGUGCAAAGUUUUUUCAGCCAUGAGGGAUCUCUUCUGCUGGAUGGCAGCUCACAAACCAUUGCCUUUGUCGUCAUCCGGGAGCUCGGGAUCAGCCCAGGAGGAAGAGAGCCACCUUCUCGGUUCCUUUCCGAGCAGGAAAGAAAAACCUGCUGGGCUUGAUCUGUACUCCAGGAAUAUGGGAAUUACCCAGAGGAAGGACAGUCUGUUCCCUGCAGAGAUGCUGAUGUCAUAGGGGAUGUCAUCGAGUAGGCCAAGCGUCCCCUCUGCUCUGCGCUAGUUUUGGUCAUUAGAGUUGCAGUGCAGCGCGGGUACAAGCUUGGAUGCCGUCAUUCACCCUCAAACUGCAGCUUCUCACCUCAGAAUAGCACUGCACCACCUGCUUGGUCAAAAGAAAAUCAGCCCUAUUGCUUGUAAGAAGUGUGGGAGAGUUCUCUCCCAUUCCGCCCAAAGUCCAGUUUUGAAAUGUUGGAGCGUUGUUGCUUGUGAACAGAAAGGGUGAAGCAUAGUUGUGUGUUUGGUCAUCACCUCUUCUAAUUGGCUCGCAGUGUUGCAAUGGCCUUGUAUAUUAGAUAGCUGUUGCUGGCUGUCCUCGGGUCAUUUAGCUGAAUUACUCAGUGAUCCUCUAAAUCCUCCUUCCAGCUGCAUAGAUUGGGCCAAUGAAGGACCAUCGCAAGCCUGCUGAAGGUAGAUGUGACAUCAUUUUCUAAUUAAAAUAAAAAACCCAUUAUAACUGGCA